rnacentral:rRNA from 1 species
UCUAGCCAUGGGCAGGUUGAAGGUUGGGUAACACUAACUGGAGGACCGAACCGACUAAUGUUGAAAAAUUAGCGGAUGACCUGUGGCUGGGGGUGAAAGGCCAAUCAAACCGGGAGAUAGCUGGUUCUCCCCGAAAGCUAUUUAGGUAGCGCCUCGUGAACUCAUCUCCGGGGGUAGAGCACUGUUUCGGCUAGGGGGCCAUCCCGGCUUACCAACCCGAUGCAAACUGCGAAUACCGGAGAAUGUUAUCACGGGAGACACACGGCGGGUGCUAACGUCCGUCGUGAAGAGGGAAACAACCCAGACCGCCAGCUAAGGUCCCAAAGUCAUGGUUAAGUGGGAAACGAUGUGGGAAGGCCCAGACAGCCAGGAUGUUGGCUUAGAAGCAGCCAUCAUUUAAAGAAAGCGUAAUAGCUCACUGGUCGAGUCGGCCUGCGCGGAAGAUGUAACGGGGCUAAACCAUGCACCGAAGCUGCGGCAGCGACAUUUAGGUGUUGUUGGGUAGGGGAGCGUUCUGUAAGCCUGUGAAGGUGGCCUGUGAGGGUUGCUGGAGGUAUCAGAAGUGCGAAUGCUGACAUAAGUAACGAUAAAGCGGGUGAAAAGCCCGCUCGCCGGAAGACCAAGGGUUCCUGUCCAACGUUAAUCGGGGCAGGGUGAGUCGACCCCUAAGGCGAGGCCGA